rnacentral:rRNA from 1 species
AACGAACGCUGGCGGCAGGCCUAACACAUGCAAGUCGAACGAUCCUUCGGGAUAGUGGCGGACGGGUGAGUAACACGUGGGAACGUGCCCUUUGGUUCGGAAUAACUCAGGGAAACUUGAGCUAAUACCGGAUGUGCCCUUCGGGGGAAAGAUUUAUCGCCAUUGGAGCGGCCCGCGUUGGAUUAGCUAGUUGGUGGUGUAACGGCCCACCAAGGCGACGAUCAGUAGCGUGUCUGAGAGGAUGAUCAGCCACAUUGGGACUGAGACACGGCCCAAACUCCUACGGGAGGCAGCAGUGGGGAAUCUUGCGCAAUGAGCGAAAGCCUGACGCAGCCAUGCCGCGUGAAUGAUGAAGGUCUUAGGAUUGUAAAAUUCUUUCACCGGGGACGAUAAUGACGGUACCCGGAGAAGAAGCCCCGGCUAACUUCGUGCCAGCCGCCGCCUAAAAC